GACGAACGCUGGCGGCGUGCCUAAUACAUGCAAGUCGAACGAACUCUGGUAUUGAUUGGUGCUUGCAUCAUGAUUUACAUUUGAGUGAGUGGCGAACUGGUGAGUAACACGUGGGAAACCUGCCCAGAAGCGGGGGAUAACACCUGGAAACAGAUGCUAAUACCGCAUAACAACUUGGACCGCAUGGUCCGAGUUUGAAAGAUGGCUUCGGCUAUCACUUUUGGAUGGUCCCGCGGCGUAUUAGCUUGAUGGUGGGGUAACGGCUCACCAUGGCAAUGAUACGUAGCCGACCUGAGAGGGUAAUCGGCCACAUUGGGACUGAGACACGGCCCAAACUCCUACGGGAGGCAGCAGUAGGGAAUCUUCCACAAUGGACGAAAGUCUGAUGGAGCAACGCCGCGUGAGUGAAGAAGGGUUUCGGCUCGUAAAACUCUGUUGUUAAAGAAGAACAUAUCUGAGAGUAACUGUUCAGGUAUUGACGGUAUUUAACCAGAAAGCCACGGCUAACUACGUGCCAGCAGCCGCGGUAAUACGUAGGUGGCAAGCGUUGUCCGGAUUUAUUGGGCGUAAAGCGAGCGCAGGCGGUUUUUUAAGUCUGAUGUGAAAGCCUUCGGCUCAACCGAAGAAGUGCAUCGGAAACUGGGAAACUUGAGUGCAGAAGAGGACAGUGGAACUCCAUGUGUAGCGGUGAAAUGCGUAGAUAUAUGGAAGAACACCAGUGGCGAAGGCGGCUGUCUGGUCUGUAACUGACGCUGAGGCUCGAAAGUAUGGGUAGCAAACAGGAUUAGAUACCCUGGUAGUCCAUACCGUAAACGAUGAAUGCUAAGUGUUGGAGGGUUUCCGCCCUUCAGUGCUGCAGCUAACGCAUUAAGCAUUCCGCCUGGGGAGUACGGCCGCCAGGCUGAAACUCAAAGGAAUUGACGGGGCCCGGCACAAGCGGUGGAGCAUGUGGUUUAAUUCGAAGCUACGCGAAGAACCUUACCAGGUCUUGACAUACUAUGCAAAUCUAAGAGAUUAGACGUUCCCUUCGGGGACAUGGAUACAGGUGGUGCAUGGUUGUCGUCAGCUCGUGUCGUGAGAUGUUGGGUUAAGUCCCGCAACGAGCGCAACCCUUAUUAUCAGUUGCCAGCAUUAAGUUGGGCACUCUGGUGAGACUGCCGGUGACAAACCGGAGGAAGGUGGGGAUGACGUCAAAUCAUCAUGCCCCUUAUGACCUGGGCUACACACGUGCUACAAUGGAUGGUACAACGAGUUGCGAACUCGCGAGAGUAAGCUAAUCUCUUAAAGCCAUUCUCAGUUCGGAUUGUAGGCUGCAACUCGCCUACAUGAAGUCGGAAUCGCUAGUAAUCGCGGAUCAGCAUGCCGCGGUGAAUACGUUCCCGGGCCUUGUACACACCGCCCGUCACACCGUGAGAGUUUGUAACACCCAAAGUCGGUGGGGUAACCUUUUAGGAACCAGCCGCCUAAGGUGGGACAGAUGAUUAGGGUG
rnacentral:rRNA from 1 species